rnacentral:lncRNA from 1 species
CUACAAUCCUCUUGGUAGCCCGCAUCACCGCCCUAUCAUAAAUCGAAUCGACCCGAACUAACCUGUAAAAAUUUGUAACAGUAAGUAUUCGAAAACACCCAAUAAGAUACGUGCAAUUUCCAUAAAUAAAUAUACAUAAAAAUUAAAAUUACAUUUCAUACCACUCUCAUCUUAUGGAGUAUAUUGGUGACCAAGCGACACACCCAUCUUAGGUCCUCUUAUAAUCCCAUAUGAUUUUAUAUCUCUUAAAAAACGAAUGUCUAUUGACAAUCCAUGCAUAUUUAAUUGAAUAUAAAAGCAUGAGGAAAUGAAAACACUUGCACAUAAAGUAUCUUACCUCGUUGAUUUGAAACGUUGUAAUGGAUCAGAAAAAUUCACGUGAAACCCCCUUUUUAAUGCUUCAUUCUCUCUGACUUGACUAUUUAUUUUCUUUAGGUAAAAGUUUUCUGAAAAUUUUGUGGGUAUAUGCAUGGAAUACAUGAGCUUUAUAUAGGGGUGGUUGGAGUAAAAUAUAAGUCCUAUUUAAUCCAAAAGAUUUAUUUGAUUUGCACUACCCUUUUGUCUUUA